UUCCACCUAGGAGGGACGUCCUAUGAUAGUUGUCUUUCUCUGAUUUUGCUGCGCAUGAUACCCUCCAGUUCCAUCCAGGGGGUGGGAGAGUGAGGAUAUCUGAAGUAUAGUAGCUAAAGUCUGGGGGGGGGGUCCCAGCUGAGGAGGGUCGUGGCAGAGCCUCUCUUACAGGACCCGCAGGCUGGAGGCGCCAUGGAGGGCAGGAGGGAACAAAUCCUCCUAACCUAGACAGUCUGCACUGCGAGGUGCAGCGCUGCAAGAAUCGAGACAGCGGUCGUCAGCUGUUCCGAGCCACAUCCUCCACGCUGUGGCCACAGCGUCCUUGAGGCUGCAGCCUUCAAACACGGGCUUUGUGCUCGUGCUCCCGCUGCUUCUGCCGGGGCCAGUGGCCACCAGCGGCACGGCCGGUGUCCCCGCAGAUGCUGAAGUCACAUCAGAGAAGAAGGGUUCUGUUCAACAAGGGUGGUGGAGGACGCAGAGCGUGGGUGCUCGAGGAGGAUCCCAGCGUGGACAACACGAAGGCAUGGAGUUUACAUAGGAACAGGAGCGGCCGGGAGCCACACGUGAAGCACAGCCAGCCAGGGCCCUGGCGCAUCAAGUCUGGGAUGAGCUCAAUACUAUUUUUUUUUCCCCACAGCAAACACCACAAGGACAAUUCUGGAGAAUAAGGACCCGCACGCCAUCUACUCUGAAGUGAAGAUGUAACACUGGGGCGAAUGAGGCAGACCACCAGCAAGGACGGAACGGCACUGAGGGGCUACAUCAAACCUUAUGAAAACGCCCACCCUCCUGGCCCCUCACAGACAGAACGCACCCCGGGAGCUGAGCAGGCGCCAUGUGUGUUCUCCUCGUGCUCUUCCCAAUGUCUUCUUCCAUUCACGCAGUGCUGACUGGGUUUCUGUUGCAUCCCAGACGCUGUGCAGGGAGAUCCUCUCUGUCAUCUGCUCUGAAGCUUCAAUGUGCAAAGAGUUGAGAAGGAGAAAUGAGCAAGAGAGACAAGGUUUCACCUGCAUCUACUCUGAGAUGAUGUGGACAGAAUCCAUUUCUGGGCUUUUCUUUCUCUUCCAAACUGGGAGUUCAUUGACCACUGUCUCCACAGACAUCUCAAGUUCUACACGAAUCCUCUCUUGCUUUUAUGAGAGCCUCAGGGUUGAGUUUGUGGAAGAGAACAGCAUCUUGAGUCUGCGUUAUUUGUCCGUUGAAUGUUUGGUCUGUGCCCUGACCCACAGUGCAGUAAAAGGGUAUUUAUGUCUUUUUGAAACGUCCAGUGUUUUACAUUCAGGGGCACCUCCAUGUAAGGAGUAAGAUCACAGCCCUCGGGACCCCCUGCCUGGGUGUGUCCCAGCCCCGUCCCUCACUCAUCACAUGGUCUUGAACCACUUAACCUCCCUGGGCCUCUGUUUCUUUGCCUUUAAAUGGGCAAAACCGAAGGCUUAUUAUGAGGAUUAAAUGUUCAUAAAUCACCUGGAACUGUAUCUGGUAUUGUUGGCACCAAAGAAUUAUUCAUCAAAUAAAAUAUGCAUGACUAUCACUUAGCCUCAAGCUCAGUACAAAGAAGGUUUGAAAAGUUGAGUAAAAUGAAUCUAACAAAAUGACUAUUGAUGCAAGUAUCAGAAUGUUUACCGAAAUACUUCUCUGAUUAGCAUCUCAUAUAAUCCUCUCUCUGCUAAAGGUAGGUCACCAAUGAAAAGGUCAAAAUGA